CACGAAUACGCCUUUCGAAGUCCGCAUGGACGCUGACCAAACCGACGCGGAAGAAAUUACUGAAUUGUUGUAGCUGCUUUACAGAAUUGUAGCUGUUGUACAUUGAUAAAGGUUUCAACAUAAUGACUGUUUCCUCCGGAUAUAUGGGUGAUGCUUUAGAAUUUCGUCGAUUUUUUAUUUGGGAAAGAAGUUUACUGUUUACUGCGAAUCGAAAAUGGAAUGCAUUUAAGUCUCAAUUAAGAAAAGUUCUCAGAAAUAAUACUAUUGAAUGGCAGAAUCUAAUGUCUAUUACUUCAUGGCUAAAAGUAGUACAAUUUGUAGCUGGCAAAUUUUUGUCCAGCUAUGUUAGAGAGAAAUUCCGUGUAUUGAAACUUUUUAGAAACUGCAAUGCUAAAUUGCUGUUAAAAUGUGAUAUUAUAAAUUCCUUGCAACAUCCUGGAGAUGUGGAACUACAUCAUGUGGUAAUAAGGGAGGCUGUAGAGAGAGGACAAAAAAAAAAUGGAAAAGAUCAGCGAAGCGUUGUGUGGAGCUCAAACGAUUGUUAAAUUGAGCUGUGUGCCGAAUCCUGGUGUUUAUCGUAGAAGUCGCAUCGAGUCGUGUGAGGAGUAGCCAGUUGCAUAGUAGUGAGUCGGAAGCUGGAUAUAGCUAAAGCGAGGAACCAGUGGAGAUUUGCAGGCGUUUGGAGAAACCGUUGGGAGUAGUUACGAAGAACAUGAACAAACGAGAAGCAAGCAAGAGGGAGAAAAAUGGCUCUUCCAGGUUGCUGUUUAGUUUAACUUCAGAGCCUCUGCAGGAGAUUGUGUAACGAUGGGUGGUAUCACAUGUUAGGAUGUUUCCGGUAAACAUCAACUACUUUUUCAUUUGGUGGAAUAAAGCUUCAUAAUAAAUAAAGUUUUAAUUAACUAUAGGAUCAUAACAUAGCUUAUUUCAUUAUUCAGAUAUCACUGAUCUUUUUGUAAUAGCUUUCAGUGGAGUCGAUUGUUAUGAAAUAUGCCACAUGUCUUCUACGGCUGGGCAUAUCAUCAGAGAUUUCUUCCACAACUGAAAUAUUUCUGUUCAGUUAUCAUUGUAAUUUUAGGUUAUUUUCCUACAUUAUAUGGAAAGAAAUUAACAAAAUUUUAAGGAUUAUAUUUAUUAACUAUUUUUUAUCAUUCUUAAUAAUUUACCAGAUUUCUCUGUGAAAGUCCGCUUAAUAGAUAGUUUUAUUUCAUUGAACGAAUCUCUAAAUAUGCUAUUAAACAAUUAGUACUUGUUAUUUAUUUAAGCUGCAGUGUGUUUGUUUGGUUUUUUACAUUGUACAAGACUUUUUUUUAUUUAAUACAUACUAUGGCUAUGUCUUUAUGUACUAUAAUUUCUGUAAUAACAUUGUAUUG